AAAAGAUGAACUCAGUCUAAGAACGCCACGUUCUGUGGCGAUGACUGAGUGACCAACAUCGCACUGA
rnacentral:sRNA from 1 species